rnacentral:rRNA from 1 species
GACGAACGCUGGCGGCGUGCCUAAUACAUGCAAGUAGAACGCUGAAGGAGGAGCUUGCUCUUCUGGAUGAGUUGCGAACGGGUGAGUAACGCGUAGGUAACCUGCCUGGUAGCGGGGGAUAACUAUUGGAAACGAUAGCUAAUACCGCAUAAUAGUAGAUGUUGCAUGACAUUUGCUUAAAAGGUGCAAUUGCAUCACUACCAGAUGGACCUGCGUUGUAUUAGCUAGUUGGUGAGGUAACGGCUCACCAAGGCAACGAUACAUAGCCGACCUGAGAGGGUGAUCGGCCACACUGGGACUGAGACACGGCCCAGACUCCUACGGGAGGCAGCAGUAGGGAAUCUUCGGCAAUGGACGGAAGUCUGACCGAGCAACGCCGCGUGAGUGAAGAAGGUUUUCGGAUCGUAAAGCUCUGUUGUAAGAGAAGAACGAGUGUGAGAGUGGAAAGUUCACACUGUGA